GGGGAUUUAGCUCAGUGGUUCCAGCACCUGCCUUCCAAGCAGGCAAGGGCCCAAGUUUGAUCCCCA
rnacentral:tRNA from 1 species